UACAGAGGUCCCGAGCGUUGUUCGGAUUCAUUGGGCGUAAAGGGUGCGUAGGCGGCGGGGAAAGUCUGAUGUGAAAUCCUGGGGCUCAACCUUUGAAUGUCAGUGGAUACUGCCGGGCUAGAGUCCGGAAGAGGCGAGUGGAACUCCUGGUGUAGCGGUGGAAUGCGCAGAUAUCAGGAAGAACACCAACGGCGAAGGCAGCUCGCUGGGACGGUACUGACGCUGAGACGCGAAAGCGUGGGGAGCGAACAGG
rnacentral:rRNA from 1 species